AUGCAAGUCGAGCGGUAAGGCACCUUCGGGUGUACACGAGCGGCGAACGGGUGCGUAACACGUGAGUAAUCUGCCCUUCACUUUGGGAUAAGCCCGGGAAAUCGGGUCUAAUACCGGAUAUUCUCUGAUCCGCGCAUGUGGGUUGGUGGAAAGCUUUUGUGGUGGAGGAUGGGCUCGCGGCCUAUCAGCUUGUUGGUGGGGUAAUGGCUUACCAAGGCUUUGACGGGUAGCCGGCCUGAGAGGGUGACCGGCCACACUGGGACUGAGACACGGCCCAGACUCCUACGGGAGGCAGCAGUGGGGAAUAUUGGACAAUGGGCGGAAGCCUGAUCCAGCAACGCCGCGUGAGGGAUGACGGCCUUCGGGUUGUAAACCUCUUUCAGUACCGACGAAGCGAAAGUGACGGUAUGUACAGAAGAAGCACCGGCCAACUACGUGCCAGCAGCCGCGGUAAUACGUAGGGUGCGAGCGUUGUCCGGAAUUAUUGGGCGUAAAGGGCUCGUAGGCGGUUUGUUGCGUCGGGAGUGAAAACCCAGGGCUUAACUCUGGGCUUGCUUCCGAUACGGGCUGACUAGAGGUAUGCAGGGGAGAACGGAAUUCCUGGUGUAGCGGUGAAAUGCGCAGAUAUCAGGAGGAACACCGGUGGCGAAGGCGGUUCUCUGGGCAUUACCUGACGCUGAGGAGCGAAAGUGUGGGGAGCGAACAGGAUUAGAUACCCUGGUAGUCCACACCGUAAACGUUGGGCGCUAGGUGUGGGACUCAUUCCACGAGUUCCGUGCCGCAGCUAACGCAUUAAGCGCCCCGCCUGGGGGAGUACGGCCGCAGGCUA
rnacentral:rRNA from 1 species